rnacentral:rRNA from 1 species
UACGAAGGGGGCGAGCGUUGUUCGGAAUUACUGGGCGUAAAGGGCGCGUAGGCGGUAUGUCAAGUCAGGCGUGAAAUCCCCGGGCUCAACCUGGGAAUUGCGUUGGAGACUGCAAGGCUGGAGUCUGGCAGAGGGGGGUAGAAUUCCACGUGUAGCAGUGAAAUGCGUAGAGAUGUGGAGGAACACCGAUGGCGAAGGCAGCCCCCUGGGUCAAGACUGACGCUCAUGC